rnacentral:lncRNA from 1 species
AUAGCUUAGGUACUGCAGUUGGUUUGGAAUUAGACUACCUUAAUACCAGACAUCAAAGACAACACAGAAUCCAAGUCCAAGACUUGAGUGAUAAUGCUAGAGAACGUAUCCUUCUUGGCAAGGCAAACAACCUUUGCCAAGGUUCCGAAGGAAAGAUAGAUCUGAACUAACACAAUCACUAUAAUCAUCCCUCUUGUAUGUAUAUAAGUUUUUCGAUGAAAAGAGGGGAU